UCGCUGAACCCAACCCGCGGGUAGGACGGAGUUUAGACCAGCUGAACCUCUUGUUGGUUUUAUACUGAGUCGACGUCAUCCUGGAUUUAGUUCCUGGCCCAGGCUGGACUCCCGGAGCCCCGGCGGCCUGGCCCAAGCCGGACUCUGAUCGCGGCAGGCGGCCGCGGUGAUUUGCGGGAUCCUCCGCGCGGCACGGCCGGUCCGCCGGAGCUGCCGGAGGCGCAUCCAAGCCCACCACCGUGCGCAGGCGGCAGAGCGCCUUUCGAGAAGCCUCUCUCCCGGUCACAGAGCACAGCUCAUAAUCGGAUGCCCUUAAGAAGAUUUUUCGUGGCAUGGGCAAAAAGCCGGCGUGUCCUUUACAAAGACUUUCCCGAGAGACCUCGCCCCUCUGUGAAGUUCUGGAAGCAGUGAGGGGAGACAGGAAGCAACAGAGACCAGUUUGUGCACAGUUGAGCCACCAAGCAGAGUGAGAUCUUCUUUAUAGAGAGACCGUCCGGGAGACAAAAUGUGAUUAAGAAAGAAGACUGGCCGGGAAAGACAGGAGGAGGUGUUUUAUUUACAUUUCUUACGCAUUCCAACACAUCUUACUGUGGUCAGCAAACCGGAAAGGAAAGGACGUAUUUCAUAACCUAAAGAAGGCACCAGACUUUUGUUUUGUUUUGUUUUUUCCUCAGCAUUCUACAUUCCUAUCUUACCCUUCUGCCCAUUUUGAAAUGAAUAAGGGUAGAUUUUUCCUGUUAGCCGUAGUUGUAAAGUUCUUGGAAAAACAAUUGAUUUGCUAAUAAAAUAUUUCCGUAGCUUUCAGCUGCUUAACUUUUAGGAACUUACGCCGAAAUGUGUUUGUGAUCAAAGUUAGCUAGGCGAGAUACGCAUUGGGGGUGAAAAAGGAAGACUUAAUACUCAAGAGAUAAUUUGGGAAGUUGUGGGUUGGGGUUUUUUGUUUUGUUUUGUUUUUGAAGGAAAGACUAUUAGAAAAUAAAACUGAAAAUUAUGGGGAAAGACAGCCAUGCCUGGGUGGCCGUGUUCCGUGUCCAGAAAGGUUGGUUACCAGCAGAGAUAUGUGUAACGUGUAUUCAUCUUUUUAGAGAGGACUUGAUGAAAUGGUCAUUGGACAAUACGUCAACUUCAGGUCUGGAUGCGAGAUGGAUAGCAGCUUAGAAGUCUGGAAUGUGUUUUAUCGUCACCGCACAUCUAGAUUUGGACCAGCCGCAUGUGGACGAGUCCUCAGGAGCCACCUGUGGCUGGUGGCCACCCCGUGGAACCGCACGGGGAUUAGACCGUGAAACAAAGACUGGGGCGGGUUGAAAUCCCAACGCUUCCGCUUAUUAGAUUCGUGACUGUCAGGCAGAUCAUUUAAUCACCUUCAGUCUUCAUGUUUCCUAGACGGUAAGAUGGGAUUUGACCAGGGAAUCUGUCUCUUGGGUCGUUGCAAUGGUCUGUGUGAGGUGCCCUAUGGAGGGUCAUUCACUCAUUCACUCGUGGUGCUAAUUCGGUCAUUCUAUCUAUACAACAAGGAGGUGUGGCUGUGUGCCAGGUGGGCCACUUGGCAGGGA